rnacentral:rRNA from 1 species
UGAGCUUGGUGCUUGCACCGAGCGGAAGAGUUGCGAACGGGUGAGUAACGCGUAGGUAACCUGCCUGGUAGCGGGGGAUAACUAUUGGAAACGAUAGCUAAUACCGCAUAACAGUCGACAUUGCAUGAUGUUGAUUUGAAAGGGGCAAUUGCUCCACUACCAGAUGGACCUGCGUUGUAUUAGCUAGUUGGUGAGGUAACGGCUCACCAAGGCGACGAUACAUAGCCGACCUGAGAGGGUGAUCGGCCACACUGGGACUGAGACACGGCCCAGACUCCUACGGGAGGCAGCAGUAGGGAAUCUUCGGCAAUGGACGGAAGUCUGACCGAGCAACGCCGCGUGAGUGAAGAAGGUUUUCGGAUCGUAAAGCUCUGUUGUAAGAGAAGAACGAGUGUGAGAGUGGAAAGUUCACACUGUGACGGUAACUUACCAGAAAGGGACGGCUAACUACGUGCCAGCAGCCGCGGUAAUACGUAGGGUGCGAGCGUUAAUCGGAAUUACUGGGCGUAAAGCGAGCGCAGACGGUUACUUAAGCAGGAUGUGAAAUCCCCGGGCUCAACCUGGGAACUGCGUUCUGAACUGGGUGACUAGAGUG